rnacentral:rRNA from 1 species
UAAUACGGAGGGGGCAAGCGUUGUUCGGAAUUACUGGGCGUAAAGCGCGCGUAGGUGGUUUGUCAAGUUGGGGGUGAAAUCCCGGGGCUCAACUCCGGAACUGCCCUCAAAACUGGUAGGCUAGAGUGUGGGAGAGGAGAGCGGAAUUCCCAGUGUAGAGGUGAAAUUCGUAGAUAUUGGGAAGAACACCAGUGGCGAAGGCGGCUUUCUGGACCACAACUGACGCUGAGGCGCGAAAGCGUGGGUAGCAAACAGGAUUAGAUACCCUGGUAGUCCACGCCGUAAACGAUGAGUGCUAGACGUUGGGGGGCUUGCCCUUCAGUGUCGGAGCUAACGCAUUAAGCACUCCGCCUGGGGAGUACGGCCGCAAGGUUA